AAAGAAUUUUUUUUUUUGCUCAGGACGAACGCUGGCGGCGUGCUUAACACAUGCAAGUCGAACGAUGACGGUGGUGCUUGCACCGCCUGAUUAGUGGCGAACGGGUGAGUAACACGUGAGUAACCUGCCCUCCACUUCGGGAUAACCUCGGGAAAUCGUGGCUAAUACCGGAUAUGAGCACUCAUCGCAUGGUGGGUGUUGGAAAGAUUUAUCGGUGGGGGAUGGACUCGCGGCCUAUCAGUUUGUUGGUGAGGUGAUGGCUCACCAAGACGAUGACGGGUAGCCGGCCUGAGAGGGCGACCGGCCACACUGGGACUGAGACACGGCCCAGACUCCUACGGGAGGCAGCAGUGGGGAAUAUUGCACAAUGGGCGAAAGCCUGAUGCAGCGACGCCGCGUGGGGGAUGACGGCCUUCGGGUUGUAAACCCCUUUCAGUAGGGAAGAAGCGAGAGUGACGGUACCUGCAGAAGAAGCGCCGGCUAACUACGUGCCAGCAGCCGCGGUAAUACGUAGGGCGCAAGCGUUGUCCGGAAUUAUUGGGCGUAAAGAGCUUGUAGGUGGCUUGUCGCGUCUGCCGUGAAAACCCGAGGCUCAACCUCGGGCGUGCGGUGGGUACGGGCAGGCUAGAGUGUGGUAGGGGAGACUGGAACUCCUGGUGUAGCGGUGAAAUGCGCAGAUAUCAGGAAGAACACCGAUGGCGAAGGCUAGGUCUCUGGGCCAUUACUGACACUGAGAAGCGAAAGACUUCA
rnacentral:rRNA from 1 species